GGCUCUGUGGCGCAAUGGAUAGCGCGUUGGACUUCUAGGUAAUCUCUAACGAAGUGAUUCAAAGGUUGUGGGUUCGAGUCCCACCAGAGUCG
rnacentral:tRNA from 1 species